GCGUUGAUCCCGCGGGAGACCGCUGCUAUUGGGAUGCGAUUGAGGCAUGCAAGUCUGGGGGUUCUUCGGAGCCACCGGCGAAAGGCUCAGUAACACGUAGAUAAUCUAACCUUAGGUCAGGGAUACCCUCGGGAAACUGAGGUUAAACCCUGAUAGGGAAUGGCAACUGGAAGGUGCUUUUCCCAAAAAGCGAUGCCUAAGGAUGAGUCUGCGGCUGAUUAGGUUGUUGGUGAGGUAAUGGCUCACCAUGCUUAUGAUCAGUAGGGGGGAUGAGAGUCCUAGCCCCGAGAAGGAAACUGAGAUACUGUUCCUAGCCCUAAGGGGUGCAGCAGCCGCGAAACCUUUACAAUGCAGGAAACUGUGAUAAGGGUAUCCCAAGUGCCUACCUUCUGGGUAGGCUUUUGCCAAGUGUAAACAGCUUGGAGAAUAAGUGGUGGGCAAGACCGGUGCCAGCCGCCGCGGUAACACCGGCGCCACAAGUGGGGGUCAUUUUUAUUGGGCCUAAAGCGUUCGUAGCCGAUCUGGUAAGUCUCUUGUGAAAUUGUCGGGCUUAACCCAACAGCGUGCAAGAGAAACUACUUUUUUAGGGACCGGGAGGAGAUAGGAGUAUUUCAGGGGGAGCGGUAAAAUGCUAUAAUCCCUGAAGGACUACCCGUGGCGAAGGCGCCUAUCUAGAACGGGUCCGACGGUGAGGAACGAAAGCUAGGGGAGCAAAACGGAUUAGAUACCCGUGUAGUCCUAGCAGUAAACGCUGUGAACUAUGUGUUGCAUAUCCUCCGUGGAUAUGCAGUGCCGGAGCGAAGGUGUUAAGUUCACCGCCUGGGAAGUACGGCCGCAAGACUGAAACUUAAAGGAAUUGGCGGGGGCGCGCUACCAGGAGCGACACGUGCGGUUCAAUUGGAUUAUACACCGGGAAACUCACCAGGAGCGCCGGCCGGGUGAAGGUCAGAUUAAAGGUUUUACCUGACAAGCCGAGAGGUGUUGCAUGGCCGCCGUCAGCUCGUGCUGUAAAGUGUCACGUUAAGUCGUGCAACGAGCAAGAUCUAUGUCUAUUGUUGCUAAUGACCUCUUCAGAGGGAUCAAGCACACUAUGGAGACUGCCCGCGUAAGUGGGAGGAAGGUGUAGGCAACGGUAGGUCAGUAUGGCCCGAAUCUCCUGGGCUACACGCGCGUGGCAAUGGUAAGGACAAUGGGAUGCCACCCCGAGAGGGGAAGCUAAUCCUCGAAACCUUGCCCUAGUUCAGAUUGAGGGCUGUAACUUGCCCUCAUUACGAUGGAGUUCCUAGUAAUCGGAUCUCAACAAGGUCCGGUGAAUACGUCAACGUGCCUUGCACACACCGCCCGUCAUUCCAACCGAGCAGAGUUUAGGUGAGGACGAGUCUUUAGAUUUGUUCGAACCUAGGCUCAGUGAGGAGGGACAAGUCGUCACAAGGUA
rnacentral:rRNA from 1 species